rnacentral:rRNA from 1 species
GUGGUUUAAUUCGAAGCAACGUGAAGAACCUUACCAGGUCUUGACAUCUUUGGCCAAUCCUAGAGAUAGGACUUUCCCUUCGGGGACAAAAUGACAGGUGGUGCAUGGUUGUCGUCAGCUCGUGUCGUGAGAUGUUGGGUUAAGUCCCGCAACGAGCGCAACCCUUAUUGUUAGUUGCCAGCAUUAAGUUGGGCACUCUAGCAAGACUGCCGGUGACAAACCGGAGGAAGGUGGGGAUGACGUCAAAUCAUCAUGCCCCUUAUGACCUGGGCUACACACGUGCUACAAUGGACGGUACAACGAGUCGCAAGACCGCGAGGUUUAGCAAAUCUCUUAAAGCCGUUCUCAGUUCGGAUUGUAGGCUGCAACUCGCCUACAUGAAGUCGGAAUCGCUAGUAAUCGCGGAUCAGCAUGCCGCGGUGAAUACGUUCCCGGGCCUUGUACACACCGCCCGUCACACCAUGAGAGUUUGUAACACCCAAAGCCGGUGGGGUAACCUUUUGGAGCCAGCCGUCUAAGGUGGGACAGAUGAUUAGGGUGAAGUCGUAACAAGGUAGCCGU